CAUAAAUCCAACGUUAUUGGAGGGCUUCUGUACUGUACAAUUCCUUGUAUCACUAUCGCUGUAUUAUGGAAAAGAGCUGUGGACAAGAGAGACAGACAGAUUAUGAGCGGUGAAUUGACUUGGAGAGAUAGAAUACGAGGCAUCGGUGUUCUUGGUACAACAACAUAAGCCUGGUUAUCGCUGAACCCUCAAUAUCCGCCAUCUUUGACUUUAAAUCAACAUGUUAUACGAUCUGUGUUACUAGGUGUCAUUGAAAAUCAAUGUUUAAAAAGCAUUCAGAAAAUAAAAAAGUUAUGUGUGUUGU
rnacentral:misc_RNA from 1 species